CCUACGGGAGGCAGCAGUGAGGAAUCUUCCACAAUGGGCGAAAGCCUGAUGGAGCGACACCGCGUGAAKGAUGAAGCCUUUGUUGGUGUAAACUUCUUUUCUCUUGGAAGAUAAUGACGGUACAAGAGGAAUAAGGGGCGGCAAACUUCGUGCCAGCAGCCGCGGUAAU
rnacentral:rRNA from 1 species